GACUCCACACUGAGCACAGAGCCCAACGCGGGGCUCCAUCCCGUGAUCCUGAGACUGCGGCUCAAGCCGAAAUCAAGAGUCAGACGCCCAACCGACUGAGCCCCCCAAGCCCCCCAGUACCAGUUUCUCUUAGAUGGAUGCCUCUGCAAAUGAGAGGAAGACCCUGAUUGAGGACCCGCUCUCGACCUUGGGACCUUGGGACCCCUGGUGGGCUUCCCUGUGGACAAAGUGAGGCCGGGCUUUGUCAGCUGGAAAGGACGUGCUCACAUGCUGCAGCCCGAGAGUUUCUGCAGGUGAGCCACAGGGAGGCGGACGGAACCCUGUCAGGAUGCACCUGGCAUCUCCCUGACCACACAGAACACCUGACCGGGUCCCUGUUCCCCAGAAACAUCAGCGGCAGGCGCUAGAAGUGGGAAGGGCCUGGUGUCUCCCCUGGGGCAUCGAGGGGGAGGUGGGGCUGACACUGCCCUCCAGCCAGGCCGGGUCGGAGGCUCUGCAUGCCGGCCACCUCCCUUUGCGGCCGUGUGGAGCUUGCCCCCGGGCUCUGCACGUUGGGCAGACAGUGGCGAAAGGAGCAACUGUCCCCAAGUGGAGGUGGCCCCGGGCGCCGGGGGAGUCCCCAGGAAGAGUCGGAACAACAUUAACGGAACGUUCCCUGCGUGGAGGCAUCCCAGGCAGGACACACAGACCUUCACGUGUGGGAUUGCGCCUCACCCUCCCCAACCCCAGGAAGACUGGUGCCGCGGGGCCCUCUUUACAGACGAGGAAACUGAGGCCCGGAGCUUUAAGCCUUGGUCUGGGUGAUGCACAGAGGAGGUGGUGGCCCCGGGGACUGGGCUCAGGCAGCCCCACACCGAUGGUUCAUUUUCUCCGCUCGGUCCUUCAGUGGAGCGCUGGUCUAGCCGGGUGUCCCCGUGGAGGCGCGAACCAAGGUCAGGAGCGCGUCGGCCAGGCUGGGUUCCAGGUCUGUCCUGCUGGCGCGUGUGAGCCCGAGUGAGGCGUGGCCGUGUUCCACCUGUGUCUCCGGCACCUGACCCGAAGCAGGUGCUAACAAGCGUCAAGCACCUUUCAGGAGAUGGCGUGGCGAAGCAGAAGGACUUGUUAGGAUUCCUUCCACCCCAGAAGGGGCAGCCCUGUCCCAGGAAGGUCUGCUUUCCGUGAGGUCCAAGAGGGAGGGGAGAGAGGGAGAUGGGGCGGCAGUGGGCAGAAUGGCUGAGCAGUCUUGCAGAGGCGAGGGGUUCCGGGAGCAAGGGCUCGCGGUUGGGAAAGGUGCCCGUGGAGCUGGGGAGAGGAGGUAGAGAUUCUCAAUCAGCACGUUGAAGUCACGGUCCCCAGGGUCACCGAGUCGCCAGCGCCACUCGGGGUGGUGAGGGUCUCUCGGGUGACGUCCCUCACCCCCGCGGAGCACCGACAGCAUGGUGUGUCCGCAGCAAGACUGAGAUCUGCGAUCUGUCCCUGGGACCGAUGGAAAACAGAUGAGUGUGUUUAUUGGGAAGAUUCCAUUUCUGGCAUUUGUCAAGUGCUGCAAGUCCGUCAGACAUUGCACAAACAGGAACCGCGUGGACGGGCGUGCGGUUGGCCGGGGGGCGCCU